AAAGAGUUGAAAGGUGCGGCUAAUCCUAAAACACUUAAGAAUGAUUUUGAACAGUUAUUCUUGAUCCACUCUGAACUUGGAGGUUACUAUCCUUCAUGCUAGUAGCUCUCAGUAAAUAAAACAAAAGCUGAGGGCUUACAUCCCCAGCGCCACUAAAUAUUUUGUACUAAAUAAACAAGAAGAUAUGACCAGUUAAUAUUAUAGUUCUAUUCCUUACCUCGAAGUCAAAACUGAGCUCAAAUUUUCCACAAGUUGCUACUUUCCAUUCAAUAACAGAUGCAGCAGCCUUAUUGAAUGCAAAGAAUGGGAGUUGCACUUACUUUGAAGGGGCCUUUAUUUAGGAGUCUGGUAUUACCUAAGUUCUCUUUAAAAGUGCUUGCACGCUGCAGGACCAGGCCUUGUCACAUACCACUCCAAUUUUCACUAAAAACAGGGUAACAUUAAACAGACUGCAAAGAAAAACAUUUUCAAAAAGAAGACAUACAUCGAUAAGGAACACUAAUGUUUACUUUUGAAAGUAAAACAUAAAAUGUUAGCUUUCAUAAAACCAUACGUUUCAGGAAUAUAAGGAGUUUGAAUAUUACUGAAUCAGUAUGGACUGAAGAUAGGCUACUCUGAUACGAAACGAGGACUCCAGUUAUUAUCUUUCUAAAAAUGUUAAUACAUGAAAAGACGUUACAUCUAAAAUACAACACGUAUGGCAAACUGUGUGUGCAAGUGCACUAGCUUAAAAAUAUAGAAUCCUAACCACGCAUAAAAGGGGAUGUGCCUUAUAUAUUCAUAAG
rnacentral:lncRNA from 1 species